rnacentral:lncRNA from 7 species
ACGCGUGAUUUUCGGGUUAAAUGGGGGAUUCUCGAAGAGAAAACGCGUGAUUUUCGGGUUAAAAGGGGGAUUUCCGAAGAGAAAACGUGUGAUUUUCGGGAUAAAUGGCAGAUUUCCGAAGAGAAAACGCGUGAUUUUCGGGUUAAAUUGGGGACUCUCGAAGAGAAAACGCGUGAUUUUCAAGUUAAGUGUGGGAUUCUCGAAUUAAAAACGUGUGAUUUUCGCUUAAAUGACGGAUUUGCGAAGAGAAAACGCGUGAUUUUCGGGUUAAAUGGGGGAUUCUCGAACAGAAAACGCGUGAUUUUCGGGAUAAGUGGGGGUUCUCAAAGAAAAACGGGCGAUUUUUUCUUAAAUGGCAAAUUUCAAAAUAUAAACCGCGUGAUUUUCACUUAAAUGGGGGAUUCUCGAAGAGAAAACACGUGAUUUUCGGGUUAAGUGUGGGAUUCUCGAAGAGAAAAUGCGUGAUUUUCACUUAAAUGGGGGAUUCUCGAAGAGACAACGCGUGAUUUUCGGGUUAAAUGGAGGAUUCUUGAAAAGAAAGCACUUGAUUUUCGCUUAAAUGUGAGCUUCUCAAAAAGAAAUCGCGUGAUUUUCGGGUUAAAUGGGGGAUUUCCGAAGAGAAACCGUGUGAUUUUAGGGAUAAAUGGGGGUUUCUCAAAGAGAAAAUGUGUGAUAUUUGUGUUAAAUGGGGUAUUCUCGAAGAGAAAACGCGUUAUUUUCGAGUUAAAUGGGGGAUUUUCGAAGAGAAACCACCUGAUUUUCGCUUAAAUGAAGGAUUUGCGAAGAGGAAGCGCGUGAUUUUUGCUUAAAUGGCGGAUUUCCAAAGAGAAAACGCGUGAGUUCAAGAAAAGGGUGAUUCUCAAAGAGAAAUCGCAUGAUUUUCGCUAAAAUGGGGGAUUUCCAAAGAGAAAACACGUGAUUUUUGGGAUAAAAGGGGGAAUUCCAAAGAGAAUGGGCGUGAUUUUUGGGAUAAAUGGGGGAUUGUCGAAGAGAAAACGCGUGAUUUUCGCUUAAAUGGGGGAUUUGCGAAGAGAAACCACCUUUUUUUCACUUAAAUGUGGGAUUUGCGAAGAGGAAGCGUGUGAUUUUCGCUUAAAUGGGGGAUUCUCGAAGAGAAAACGCGUGAUUUUCGGGUUAAGUGGGGGAUUCUCGAAGAGAAAACGUGUUAUUUUCUAUUAAAUGGCGAAUUUCCGAAUAGAAAACGCGUUAUUUUCGAGUUAAAUGGGUGAUUAUCAAAGAGAAAUCGCAUGAUUUUCUCUUAAAUGGGGGAUUCUCGAAGAGAAAAUGUGUGAUUUUCGGGUUAAAUGGGGGAUUCUCAAAGAAAAGAUGCGUGAUUUUCAAGUUAAAUGGGUGAUUAUCAAAGAGAA